ensembl:lncRNA
CAGGUGGCCCGGCACCACUGGAGUGGCCUCUGUGAAGCAGAGCUUGUGAGCUGCGGGUGCUCCUGGCCAGGGGAAUGGUCCGGGCUGCUGCCACCACUGACCCCUCCAGGGGAGGUGCUAUCAGGCAAGCUCCAGGGGCCCUCCAGGGACGCGAGGGGGGCUGGCCUGGUCUGGCCAUCAGUCCUCCAGAGGAUACUGUUCCUACCACAGGGGAGAGACCCCAGGCUCGGGAGGCAGGGCCACACUGUUCUGUCGCCUUUCUGAAGGUUCCGGGUGAUCUCUGCAGCCCUUGGUUCAAAUCUGCACACCAGACGUGGGCUCCGGAGAAGUGCAGGAGGGGGCAGGUGCUGGCGGGGAGACCACGGGGCUAGGAGAGAAGGCUGCCGAGACGCUGGCAUUAAGGCUGGGGCCCAAGCCCUAGGCAGAUGUGAGGGGGAUGUGCGUGGGGCGGACCAGGUGACAGUGGUUUUCAGGGACCUCUGCUGCGGGUGUCUGUGUGGAGUGUGAUCCUGGAGAGAGAGGUGUGUGGCUGGGAGACGUCCCCACCAGGGAGGAGGGGCAGAGGGCCCAGAGAGGAGGACAGCCAAGACCACCGUGCGCCAGGCCUCCCGAUGGGCAGCGUGCCCGGGACUAGUGCUCAGCUGACCGGACACAGCAGCCUGCUGCAGCAGGGGCUGGUUUGCUCAUUCAUCUGUGCAUUAAGGAGGGAGCCUGUAAAGGAGAUGAAUGAGUGGUCCUGAUGGCACUCACUGGCCAUCUCCUGUCUGAUGAGUUUCUUUUUUGUCUCCUGACAAGGGAAGGGAGGGCCGUGCUCUCGGCCCUUCAGACAGACCAAAAGCCCUCAGCCUGACAAAAAGACCAGUGGCAUUAGGAAAGGUAGACCAAGCGAGCUCAGUCUACCCGGAUGAGCACAGAGCGCUCUGCCUCGUCCCGAGUCAUAACUACCUGCUGCAGGAAACCCGCUGGCCUUCAUGAGCCAAAUGCAAUGUGAAUUCUCGCAUAACCAUCAAAGCUCACUGAGAGGCGCCCUCUGUUUGGAAGCAGCCGUGCUCUUGUGUGGCCCAGAGACGCUCUGAGGAGUGGAGAGCUGACACACAGGCGGGCUGGGGUCCUGCUGGCUCCUUCAGGCUCCAUCGCACCAAGUUCCCGAGGACCUGUUAGCAGCUGAUCCUGGCCGGGUGAGCAUCCUUCAAGGGGAGAGAAGUCAGGACUGGAAGUUGCAGUGGGAAACCACCAGGUGGCUCAGCAGAGGAAGGAGUGGAUCCCUGGUCCUGGGCAUUUUUCUUUAGGAUUAUUCCAGCCUUCCACGUAAUUCAUCCAUGAACCGUGUCCGAGGACUGAGGUUGUCACUCUGUGCUACUCACUAUCGGCCUUUGUCCAUCCCUGCCCACGACAGCCCAACUGCCAUCUCAGCCUCGCCUGCGUGGCCACACCCCCUGGACCCGUCAGCCCAGACUCGCUUUGGCCAGGCCCCAUCCACUGCCCGCUGCAGUCGAGGUUCGGGGGCGGCCAGGAACGUGUGAGGGGUGCGCUGGGGAAGUUGCCUUGCUCUACAAGAGCCGGCAGCCCCGGGGCCCUGGAGACGCCCACUGGACACAGCUGGAGUGUCGCAGAUCCCCUCGGGGCCUCCUGUGCCCCCUGGUGUGACAGCUCACAGCACCGAGAGUCUCCUUUGUAGCCCUGGCCAGUCAACGGCGUGGUGACCUGACUGCUGUCUGACUCCCCCUUCAGACUCCCUGAGAUAAGCUCCAUGCUGAGUUCGUGGUGCUCACUGCUGUUCCCAAGAUCUGCCGCAGCGCCUGGUACACAGUAGUCGCUCAAUAACUGCAGAAUGAGCACAUGAAGGGCUUGGCAGCUCCAGGGUGAGGUGCCUACCUCCCUCCAUCAGAGCUCUUCCAUUGUACCAUCUGUCCCCCACUGGCCCACAAGCCCCUUGAAGAAAGUGGCCAUACGAUUCGUGUGUAUACACUUGGCACAUGGAAAGUGCUUGACGCAUAGCAAGCGAAGGAUUCGACCAGCCUCCGAAGAUGGGAUCUCAGAGGCAGCCUCGGCUCUCCUUUCUCAGCCCCCUGGCCCCCAUCAAAUUGGGAACCAAGUUCUGUCCACUCUGUCUCAGUGGAGUCCUCAGAGUCUCAGCCCUCCUCCCCGCCCUUCCAUUGGUUAGGUUUGGGUCUGGCUGGAGUGUGAGAACACCCCAAAUCACGGUAACCCAAACAAGUGAGAAGUUCCCCAAAUCCCAAGGGAAUCAGUAUGGGAAAGGUAUGGUGGAUGCACGAUCUUCAAAGACCCACACUCUGUCGUUCCUUCACUCCAUGAGCGCAAGGCUUCAUGGGCCAAAAUGGCUGCUUGAACUCCAGCCAUAACAUAUGCAUUCCAGCCAGCAGGAAGGAAGGAAGAAGGGGGCAUCCCCUCACUUGAAGACACUUCCACUCUCAUCCCAUCGGUUAGAACGUGGUCACUUGCACAUCCAGCUGCAAGGGAGCCUGGAAAAAGUUGUUUUUAUUCUAGGUGGCCAUAGACUCAAUAAAAACGGGAGGGUCUCUUACUAGGGAAGAAGAGAAGGAAAGAUCCAGUGGGAUGGCCAGCACCCUCC